AGCAGUAGCCGCGGUAAUACGGAGGGUGCAAGCGUUAAUCGGAAUUACUGGGCGUAAAGCGCACGCAGGCGGUUUGUUAAGUCAGAUGUGAAAUCCCCGAGCUUAACUUGGGAACUGCAUUUGAAACUGGCAAGCUAGAGUCUUGUAGAGGGGGGUAGAAUUCCAGGUGUAGCGGUGAAAUGCGUAGAGAUCUGGAGGAAUACCGGUGGCGAAGGCGGCCCCCUGGACAAAGACUGACGCUCAGGUGCGAAAGCGUGGGGAGCAAACAGGAUUAGAUACCCCGGUAGUCCCUGUCUCUUAUAC
rnacentral:rRNA from 1 species